rnacentral:misc_RNA from 1 species
GCAACAACCGCCAAAGAAGAACAAGUUUGGGAUGGGAUUGGGAGCGGGAUUGGGAGCAGGCUUGCUCGGAGGAGCACUUGGUGGGCUUUUAAUUGGAGAUAUGGUUUCAGAUGCUGGAGCUUAUGAUGCUGGGUAUGAUGCAGGGUUUGAUGAUGCUGGUGGAUUUUGAAUUUUCUUCUUUCUUUCUCUUGAUGUUUUUAUUAAUUAGAGACUUAUCUUUAGGGAAGGCAAUGGUUGGUGUACCAUAAUGGUGGAUUUUGACUUUUCAGAAUCUGAAUCUUUUUUUUUUUUUUUUUUUU